rnacentral:lncRNA from 1 species
CGAGAUCACGUCCAGAGGCUUCGAGGUCUCCGACUCGAAACCGAGAGCAGCGACCCGAUCCUAACCCGACCGGCGCUCCACCGUCAGGCCACCUCCGGCCGGCGAAUGAGCACCACCUUCUUCGUCUCGCUGUCGCCUACGCUCCUGUGGCCUCGGAUGAUACAGGCAGCGACUGUGAACGGAGAAUCAAUGAUCCAAAGCUUGAAGAACCUCCGGCGACUCCGGCCACCG